rnacentral:rRNA from 1 species
GACGGAAGGUGCAAGCGUUGCUCGGAAUCACUGGGCGUAAAGGGCGGGUAGGCGGCCACCGCAAGUCAGUUGUGAAAUCUCUGGGCUUAACCCAGAAAGGUCAACUGAUACUGCGGGGCUAGAGUGCAGAAGGGGCAACUGGAAUUCUCGGUGUAGCGGUGAAAUGCGUAGAUAUCGGGAGGAACACCAGUGGCGAAGGCGACUUCCUGGCCUGUUCUUGACGCUGAGGCGCGAAAGCUAGGGUAGCAAACGGG